AUGCAGAUACUGGAAGGGUUCGGGGACGCCACACAACUGCACUGCAAUCCUCAGAAAUCAACAGUAGCGGCACUCAACUGCGACAACUUAGAUAUCAUGGACGUCCUGGGAAACUUCGGUGGCAAUAGAGUAGACUUCCCGAUCAGAUACCUAGGUCUUCCCCUCUGUGCAGGCAAGCUACGGCUAGCCCACAUUCAGUUCCUCCUUGAUCGCGUUCACGCACGGCUGGCGGCAUGCAAGGGUCGGCUCAUAGCAAUCACAGGGCGGCGGGUGCUCGUUCGGUGCGUGCUGUCAGCACUGCCCGCCUUCGCGAUGGCCGUCCUGCGCAUCCCAAAGAAAUUCUUCAAAGACGUGGACAAGGCUAGACGACGCUUUCUAUGGGCACAAGAUGAGGAGAUCACCGGCGGGAAGUGCAAAGUUAACUAG
rnacentral:rRNA from 1 species